rnacentral:tRNA from 275 species
GGAGUGGUAGUUCAGUUGGUUAGAAUACCGGCCUGUCACGCCGGGGGUCGCGGGUUCGAGCCCCGUCCACUCCGCCA